UUUCAUGCAAAACAGUCUUUGAUCGGCACGUGUGGAGAGGCUUUCCUCACUCUGCCUGCCAAGGAUAUCAACUGCAGCCGUCUCGCCACAUUCUGCUUCUCUCGUUCCUCUCCGCCACUCUCCCCUCCAACUCUUUGAACACAUCAGUCUCUCCUCCUCCUCCUCCUCCUCCUCCUCCUACCGUUUGGACUGCAGCAGCCUCUCCUCCGCCUCCUGCCUCUCUCCCAGCAGCCUCUGCAGGUGAACUAUCUCCCUCUGGUAAGACGCUGCCUUGCCCUCCGCAGCCUCCUCCAGUGCCGCCAGUCGGCUGGACGCCUGCCUGCGGUACACCUGCGCACACGCACACACGCACCAGGAGUCAGGGACAUGCAAUGUGGAGCACUGCCAUGAAGGAGGUGGAUCCUCAUGGAGGACGGCAUCGCAUCAGCAGCAUCACCAGAGAACGGAGGAGCGCAGGAAGUGGAGGCGCGUGCGGCGGGACGAGGCGCAGCCAAGGCGUGGAUGGAUGGAGUCAAGUUUGAGGGCCUUAGGAUCUGGUCUCUGCUAUCUGCAGACGAUGUGGUCCUGAUGGCCUCAUCGGGCUGUGACCUUCAGCGUUUCCUGGGGCCGUUUGCAUCGGAGUGUGAAGCUUCUGGGAUGAGACUCAGCACCUCCAAAUCCGAGGCGGUGGUUCUCAGUGGGAAAAGGGGGGCCAUGUAGACAUUUCAGGCCAAGACUUGGGACUUGAGGUCGAUGAGAACGGAAAAGUUGCUGGCUGUAUUUGUGGGAGAUCUUGGACCAAUUGUGAUGACAUCAAACAGUUUGAUUUGAGAAAGGUAAGUUUCAUCCAUGCUUUUAUUUUGGCGAGACAGGAGGUGAGUGUGGUGUGUGUGGAGGCAGUGAUGGGUUUGGAGGGUAUGUAGAGCUGGACGUCGUUGGCAUAACAGUGAAACCUUUGUAUGACACUUAAAAAUGGUCCAAUGUGACUUCAAACUAGGGAUGACCUGAUGCACACUUUUUGGCUUCCGACCAAUCCCAUUUAUUUUGCAGUCUUGCCGAUCCAAAACAGAACCUGAUUUUUUAUAAUAAGCUUUUGUUACAAACAUGAAUUUGUGGAAUUGAAUAUGGUUAUGAAAUAGCUCUUCAAAGCAUCAACCAACGUAUUCCACAGCAUGUUUGGCUUUUGGAACAAACCUAUGGGAGUCAGGUCCCUAAUCCAAUAAAAGAUACAAUAAAAGAUACAAUUGGAAAAAAUGGGUGAGCAAAAUACUUUCAGGGUAGGACUAAUCAUGUGACAUGGUUAUAGAUCCAUUUGUGGUGUGAUUUAGAAUAUAUGACUUUUUUUUAACGCUCUUCAAAGCAAUAGUAAUUUAUUGACGGUCCCUAGUAUAAAAGCACCAGCGGUUAGAGCGGGCCUGCCCGCACUCCAGACAUGUGUCAUUGGGGGGGCCAAGGUGAAACCAUUACUCACAUGAGGUGGCAAUAAGUUGAGAACUGAAAUGUCUCGAUGGCCAGUGGGGUGGCCACGCCCACCAUUAGCCAUCUCCCCGCACUAUGACACAGCAGACAGGGCACAGGGAGGGGGACGUCCAACGUAAAUCUAACUUCACCACGGUACACGGCCGACAUGUCUGCAUGGUGGUGUUGCCUUUUCUUCUUCUGGCGGGUGGCGGGAGUCGAAUGGCAAUCGGUUUUGAGGCGCAUUACCGCACCUACCGUGUCGGAGUGUGGCUCAGAGUUACCAACGCGAUACGGCAACCGGAUCGGCCCGAUCUCAUGGCAGAAAAAUGCAGCGGAUCGGCAGACGAUCCCGAUCCUGAAGAUGUGAUCGGGACAUCCCUACUAAAAACACUCCCUGAACAGUUAGGGCUUGGCAAUGGCCUCAGGUUUGACCCUGGAAUCAUUAGAGCAUUUCUGCCUCGCAUUGUGAGUCAACUUGGUAUACAAAUAGAUCCAACCUCACGCCAACACUGAUGUGCGAUGCAAAGCUGGGAAUAACUUCCUGUUCCCUCCUGUGUUUUGAAAUCCUCUUACAAAAAGAAGUAAUAGUUACACUACAUUAUUUACACUACUUUACCUUUUGGAAUUGUACAAUAAAUAAGUGCCUUUUAGUUCCAACUCCAACAAUCCUUCACCACUGUAUGCUACUACUACAGUACUACUACUACUACUACUACUACUUUAUUUACUUGAAUUGGAUUUAAUUCAUUACAUUUUUGGAUUUUAUUUGCUUUUUCUAUUUUCUUUUUUUUCUUCUCUCAUGUCUUGCCUUGGUUGUUUUAUUUUGUCAUGAAGUGGUUCAUUAGGAGAUUUUUGCAGAGCUGCUGGAAAUGUGAACUCCUCUUGGAGAUGAAUGAACAAAGCGUCUCUCUGCUCCUGCACAACAACAACAGCAAAGGAAGUUAAACAGCUAGCCAACAAGAGCUCAGGAAAACGACCAUGUUGCAGAACGAAGCCUCAACUGUUGCACUUGUCUACAUUGCUGUAAGACAGGGCUGUCCGAAGUGGGAACUGGGGGCCGGUUUCAGUUCUGUUCUUUUUUUAAUUUUUAAAAAUCAAUCAUUCAUCAGAUGUUACACUCAUUUUCUUGGUCACGUAAAACACAAAGCUAAAAUAUGGAUGUUUUGUUCAGAAAGCUUCGAUCUACAUUUCAUUGCUUUUAGCAUCUGUAGUGUGCAAACUGUAUCAGUGUGGCCCCCCACAUCCUUCAAUUUUUCCAUUUGCGGCCCUUGCUGGAAAAAGUUUGGGCCCCCAAGAUGUAAACUGACAGAUUUUUUCAUUUUUGUUUUUAAUAAUUGUUUUUAACUUUAAAAAUGCUUAAACUGUUCACACAAAGGCUAGAUAGUUUGUUUUGCAUUUUGUUGCCUAACUGUACCCAAAAUGAACUGGAUCAUCACCUGCCAUUACGCCCAUACUAUGAGCAGGCUUGUACUAAACUAAAUGGCAAAGUUGUCCAUUUGUAGGUUUACGGUGGUGUUAAAGAGUUAUUCUUCUUUCUUUUGCAUGUUUGUCACACUAAAGUGUUUCAGAUCGUUCUGUUCUUUUGCAACUGUAUAUGUAACCCGCCUGGUCCUUGCAGCACCACGUUCUUCCUGGUCUUCAACCAGGGUCAGCAGAAUGAGAGUCGAGAGCGCUAGCCAUCGAGCUAAAAUCCCGAGCUGUCAGCUCCAUGUCUGGCGUGACUCUUAAGGCAUCAGGGAGUGAAGUUUACCAACGUACUCUCACAGAGCUGCACCAGCUGGCAUCCGUUACAUUUCUACAAAUAUGGAGUCAACAUUUUGCUAUAUUACGAGAUCAAGCAUCAAAAUGUGUCUGCAGCAAGCUCAUUCACAAGCACCUGCUCCGGGCCAGUCACAUGUUCAACAAUUUGCCUCAGGUCCAGCUGAAACAUAGCUUGUUCUGCACAAACACUCUGACUGCUUUUCUCAGUCACUGUUUGGCUAAUUAGCACCUCACAACCUCUGCAGAAACAUCAUGUCCUUUCAUCCAACUCGCUAGGUGGAAAUGAUUGGUAAAACCACCUGCAGCGAUGACUCGGCUCCAUCAACAACAUCACGGAUUAACAUUCUGCUUUCAAACCAACGGCAUCACAGUGUUUACAUGUCAGGCUGGAGACAAAGACUGGCUUCCAAGUGUGCAGUGAAACAGCUGAAGAUGAAGAAGGGUCCUGACAAUAUUUCAUGACAAACACAGCGGUCACUUGCUAAGUACUCGGAUCAAAAUCUCUGCAUCCACUGGGAAUGUUCCAGUAAAAGGCUUUCAGUGGCUAAGCAUUGAAUCACUGCAAAUGACGGUCAUACUGUUCCAGACAGCAGAAUCAUGCAAGUGUUUACAAUAAGACAGGAGUAUUUCCCUCUGGGAAACAGACGACUGCCUUUGGAUGCAAUGAUGAGCGGCAUGCGGGUCAGGUCUGUGGUACUGCCUGAGUGAAAUGACCAGACUGAAGUCCUGAGGUUUUGGAUGAUGGAUGGAGACGAGACUUCUUGACUGAGUGUAGAAGACCCCCAGAGCAAGUGCAACCCUUUGGUAGACAAUCCCAAAAUGACAAUGGAGUCUACUAGGACGGUGAUGAGUCAUGAAUUGGCAUGGUGGGUUUUUGGUUUUGAAGUAGCAGUAAGGAAAUAGUUUCAAUGUUGAACCAAAAAUCUGGACUAGUUGUGACAAAACUAAAACUGAAACAGAACUCUGUGUUUUGGCCGUAUGUUUAUAGUAAACCUUUGUUUAUCGCCGUUAAUUGGUUCCAGACCCGACCGUGAUAAGUGAAUUUCUGCAAAGUAAGAUUCCUUAUUUCCUUAGGAUUCUUUGGGAAUGAGGUCCUGCCCCGGGUGGAGGAGUUCAAGUAUCUCGGGGUCUUGUUCACCAGUGAGGGAAGGUUGGAGCGUGAGGUCGACAGGCAGAUCGGUACAGCGACCGCAUGACUGCAGACGCUGUCGUGGGUUAGGGUUAGGGUUAGGUUUGAAUGGUCGUUCCCCGUCGUGGUGAAGAGAGAGCUGAGCCGGAAGGCAAAGCUCUCAAUGUACCCCCCAUCUAUGUUCCCACCCUCACCUAUGGUGAUGAGCUUUGGGUCGUAACUGAAAGAAGGAGAUGGUGGAUACUAGCGGCUGAAAUGAGUUCCCUCCGUAGGCUGGCUGGACUCUCCCUAAGAGAUAGGGGGAGGAGCUCAGAGUAGAGCUGCUGCUCCUUCACAUGGCGAGGAGCCAGUUGAGGUGGCUCGGGCAUCGAGUCCGGAUGCCUCCCUGGUGAGGUGAGCUGGGGGGAGGCCCUGGGGCAGACCUAGGACAAGCUGGAGGGAUUAUGUCUCACAAGGCCUGGGGACGCCUUGGUGUCCUCCUGGUGGAGCUUAUUGUGCCUGUUGUCAGAUCAAGUGUGGCGCUGGUGUGUCUCAGCCAACGUGACAGUAACAUUACUGACACCUGGUGACCAGUGUACAAUACUACAUAUCAUCACAAUAUCUUUGAAUGUAGAAUUUAAUUCCUUUUGCCAUUUAUAUGCUUGAAAAUGUUUCCUUAAGAAAAAAAAAAACACGUAAAAUUUGCUUAAGUAUGCUUUUUUAAAAUUUUUUUUUACUAAUAACAGACCGUAUUGAACCACAAAACAGCAUGACUCAUUAAUUAAUAUAUUUUUGAAAAACUGUGAUAGAGUGAAGCCUCGGAAUUAAAAGAAAAACACUCUGAAGGCUGAAAUAUUUAAAAGCCAGCAGGUCGCACUGAAGGCUGCUGGGAGGCCAGUGCAGCAUCUCCCUUUGUGCUGGAUAUGUAGGUACAUUUCAUGGCCAUGAAUGCACGAGUGACGGGUGUUUGUGUUGGUAAGGAUGUAACCAGGACAGGCAACAAUGAAAACAAAUGACAAUCAGACUCAGAGAGUAAAAGUGGCAGUCAAGGUCAGCGGCAGAAAGCAGGUUCGUGCUCAUUAACACAUUUCCAUCAUUUGUCUCUAAAGAGGUCGCUAUUUCAUGUCUUUUCAUGCUAUUUGUCUGACAAGUAACACCCAUUCAAGAGGUCAUUACCAAGGUCAUUAUGUCAACAAGACCAUCUUGCCGUUAAACACAGAUGUUCCCAGCGCCUUAAACAUGAAUAGUAUUCUGCAGCUCGUAUACACUUGGCAGCAAAGACAACAACAAGAAGAGGUUUCGCAGGUCCUUCAUACCGACCGCUGUCAGGCUCUACAACACCUGCACCACCUGAACCAUGUUGUAGUCAAUAUGUAUUCUUUACUUGCGUAUCUCGCUUGCUGCUGUAACAAGUCAAUUUCCCUGCUGUGGGAUAAAUAAAGUACAAAUACAAUACAAUACAAUACAUUCAUCAGCACAUGGGGAGAGGCCGUAGAGAUAGCUAAAUUAAGAGCACUGACGGCACAAGUCAAAAAUGGACGACAAUAUCCCGUCCCACUCCUCAGGAAGAGCUUCUACAAGAUUGGUGUGUAAGUGGGUAACUUUUAGCUAAUAAAUGGGCUUUCUAGUUCAUCCCAAAGGUUUCUUGUUGGGCUUGAGGAGAGCUGGCUCACAAGGUGUUGCCUUCAAGGACCUUACUUUGUCAACACCAAAGGGUCUCAACCAAAUUGGAUGGAUUAAAAUGUCUAAAAUCUAGCUAUAGAUUGUUCUAUUAAAGGAUUGCAAUGUUUCCCAUACGUUCUUUUUAAUUCGUACAGCAAAUGGCAUCAUGACUGCUUUUUCACACCUCAUACGCACAUGCCACAACUAACUUGGUCGCGUUAUAUAAGGCAUCUUAUCAUCAAUAUUGUGGCGCUCUUGAGUUGCACGUGAAAACCCGUGCACCGGGGAGAUCGGACUUUAGCGUCUGGUAAACACAGAGGUGGCGGCGUCUGUGUUUACGUAAACAAACGGUGGUGCACAGACGUACAGACGAUGGAAAAGCACUGCUCGCAGGACAUUGAGCUGCUGAUGGUGAAAUGCAGACCUUUUUAUUUGCCUCGUGAGUUUAGCGCUGUGUAUUUAACUGCUGUUUACAUCCCACCACGAGCUAACACCGCUAACGCACUAAGCCUCCUGCAUGACAUCAUUGAUAAACACGAGACCAAACACCCAGACGCUGUAUUCAUUAUAUCUGGCGAUUUCAACCACUGUAACCUCAGGACUGUCCUCCCCAAAUAUUACCAGCAUGUGAGCUUUCCCACAAGGGAAAAUAACAUCCUGGACCAAGUCUACAGCAACAUGAAAGGUGCUUUGAAGGCUGUUCCAAGACCCCACUUUGGAAAGGCUGACCACAUCUCCAUAUUCCUUUAUCCAACGUACAGACAACUUCUUAAACAAGCUCCCCCUGUACAUACAGCAGUUAAAGUGUGGAAUGAAGAAACUGAUCAAGUACUUCAGGACUGCUUUGGCUGCACAAACUGGGAUGUGUUUAAAACUGCAGCGGGGAGGGAAGAUUGUACUGUUGAUUUGGAUGAAUAUGCUUCUGCUGUUACUGGCUACAUUAGCACAUGUAUAGAGACUGUUACCACCACCAAGUAUUACAGAAAAUACCCUAACCAAAAACAGUGGAUGAACUGUGAUGUAAGGGCUAAGCUACGUGCUCAUUCGACUGCAUUUGUCAUGGGCACCGCUGAUGACUACAAAAAGGCCAGAUAUGACCUGAGGAGGUCCAUACGGGAGGCCAAAAGACAGUACAGACAGAAGCUGGAGGGCUACUAUUCCACCUCAGACCCUUGGCGCAUGUGGGCGGGGCUCCAGCACAUCACAGACACACUUGGCCUGUC